rnacentral:rRNA from 1 species
AUACGAAUGGGGCUAGCGUUGUUCGGAAUUACUGGGCGUAAAGCGCGCGUAGGCGGAUUGGUCAGUUAGGGGUGAAAUCCCAGGGCUUAACCCUGGAACUGCCUCUAAUACUGCCAGUCUUGAGUUCGGGAGAGGUGAGUGGAAUUCCUAGUGUAGAGGUGAAAUUCGUAGAUAUUAGGAAGAACACCAGUGGCGAAGGCGGCUCACUGGCCCGAUACUGACGCUGAGGCGCGAAAGCGUGGGGAGCAAACAGGAUUAGAUACCCUAGUAGUCC